GUGGCAUAGAGGAAGGUCUAAUGAAAAUGAUCAAAGGUCUGACAAGUGACUCUACCUUUAAUGAUAAAAAGAUGGUUCCUUGAUGGGCAGAACAUACAGUACACCAGAAUGAAAGCAGGAACUGACGGCUCCACUUCCUGCAGUUAGAGCUUCCAAUUCUCUGGUUGAAGAUUUUGUGUUUUGAGUAACUCCCCGGGAGACGCUGAUGCUACCAGUCUGAAGACCACACUUUGGAAACCACUGCUCUAACACUUUCUCCAAGCGUGAGUAAAGCAGCCCUGAUUCUCUUGACUCUACUUAACCAACCAUUCUAUCCUAUCAUGGCUAUAACCAUGGAGGCACGUUCACAGGCAGAAAAGUAAAGGUUAUUUGAAAGGUCAGAGAAUACAAUGAGGUGAUCCUUUCUUUUCUUUCUUUUUUUUGGGGGGAUGGUGUUUUGCUCUUGUCUCCCAGGCUGGGGUGCAAUGGUGCCAUCUCGGCUCACUGCAACCUCCACCUCUCAGAGUUCAAGUGAUUCUCUUGCCUCAGCCUCCUGAGUAGCUGCGAUUACAGGAGCACACCAACCAUGCCUGGCUUAUUUUUUUUUGUACUUUUUAGUAGAGAUGGGGUUUCGCCAUGUUGGGCAGGCUGGUCUCGAACUCCUGACCUCAGGUGAUCCAUCCACCUUGGCCUCCCAAAGUGCUGGGAUUACAGGCAUGAGGCACCACGCCCAGCUGAGGUGAUCUUUCUUUACACCCAAAACAGGGUCUAAAGAAAACUGGGUCUAAUUCUGCUUUCCGUAACUUAAGGCUCUUAAGAAGAGACAGGUAAUAUAUUAAGAAAAACAGGACUCAUGGGGAGGACAGAAGAUCUAUUUAUCCUAAAGAGGAUCAAGGCCAAGAGAAACCAAUUAAUUCCUUUUCAAGUACAUAAAGUAAUACUACAAAGGAUGUAUCUGUGUCUCUACUUCCUAAGGUCUGUCAUCAUUUCUAAAAUAGGGAUAAUCAUAUCUACUUUGCCUAUUUAAAAUGUAUGCUGAGAUAAUAAGAUGUGAGAGGGUUUUGAAAACUACAUAUUGAUAUGCAAGUCUAAAAUAUUAAUAUUUCUAUUCUUUCAAAUUAAGUGUUCUUAACCUAUAUUCCAUGGAUGUCUAGAACCCCCUACAACAGUAUGCAAAAUUUUGUGUUUUUAAUAUCCUGGGGAGAGAGCCCAUAGUUUUCAUCAGUUUUUCAAAUGGCUUUCUGUUUUAAGCACCAAUCCUGACCUAGAGUGAUAGUCAAGCUACCUCUACCACCAUUUAUCAGACACUUUGGAGAUUUUUGUCUCUACUUCCAAGUAGAUAUGGUUCAGAUAUUCCUCAAAACACCUCUCUCUUCCAAGCCAAAUGAGCGGCUUGAACUAACUCUUUACCUAUGAAAAGGAUUACUUCUUGCCAAAAGAAUAUCGGGCAUCAAGCUGGCUGGAUACUCAUGAAAGUCAAUCAACCAGAUUUCCUAUGGAAAAGUACAGAGAGCUGGAGUGGGAGGAGGAGGAAAUAUUAAAAUGUUGAAACACAGAAAAAGUUAUUGCUGAUCUCCAUGCAUGUCAGUCGAGGUUACUACCAGAAGGGACUAAAGAUCUCUCAGGGGAAGUAAAACACAUUAAUAAAGACAGUCUUUAAAAGGAAGUGUUCCCCAACCUUUCAGCAGUAAAGCUGUCUGAACAGGGCUAAGAAAAUCCUUCACAUGAAAACAGCUGAGGAGCAGAGGCUCCAGGAGAAGUUUUCCAGUGAUUGAUGGAACGUAACCUUGAAAGUCUACCUCGUCAGUUCUUGAGAUUGGGGUUCUUCAGGCUUCAUCCCGGCUUAUUUCCCUGCUGGAAAUCAGAGAUAGAAACAAAUGAAGCAUCAGGUUGAAAACAGAAGUGCAAAACAGUCACAGGAAACACAACCCAUACAUCACACCAGCAGCCGGAGGAAAGCCCCUGCCCACCAGAGAUGACCAGGCAACAAGCCCUGGCCAGGCAACUCUCACACCUUUCCCAGCUUCGUGGAUAAUUAAGAAACAGUGGUGACCUAGUACCUAGGAACUAAUCAGAACGUAGAGUAAUAACUGUUUUUCCAACCACGGAUCUUGGUAGGAGCUUCUCAGAGGUGAUCCUUGUCACCCGUCAGAAAUGGUUGCCUCUCAUUAUCAAGAAACAGAAGGAGAAACAAAACGACCAGUGAACUCACCAUCCACUCAGGCAUGUGAAAAGCUGAGGUGCCCUCAUUACCGUCCCACUUCUCCAUAGUGCAGGCUUGGGUAAGAUAUGUCCUGAAGCAAAAGGGAAAGCUGGUUUGGAAAUACUGGGGUUAUCUGAGUGCCCCAAAGCAGACCCAACCCUAGUGAGAUUCAGAAGUUCACAGUGGCUAGCAGAAGCUGCAUCCCUUUUCACAGCAGCCUCCGAUUCAAAUCAAGAGCAUUAGUCAACUGCCUGACAACCCCUUACUGGCCGGCUUCAAAGCCUUCUGUGUCUGAUUUCAAAAUCAGAGCUGAUGCAAAGUGCUGCACCCAGGCACUGUGCUUCUCACAGGGCACUCACUGUUUUAAUGCUACCCAAACACUCUACCCGCACCUCCCCAGUGGGGACUUUCUGCAGCAAUAGUUGGACUUCCUUCUUUCCCUGUGUGUGAGGCACUUGUGAAUUCUCUCCCACCCUUCAGGACACGUCACUGGAGGUGCGGAUACCAAGAUCAAUAAAGACUGAGGUCAGGAAGGCA